CUGUAGCCUACCAGGCUCCUCCCUCCAUGGGAUUUUCCAGUACUCUGGCCUGGGGAAUUCCAUGCACUAUGUGUAGUUCAUGGGGUCGCAGUUGGAUUUGCACUUUCAUGUAUACAUAUAUGAUGCUUCCACUAGGGCCCCACACUUACUGUGGCCUUUGAAGAUGUAGCCAACCAAAUUUAGGCUGGAUUUCACUGUCAGGGUGAUUCUUUUCGUUUUUUGACUGUGCCACACAGCUUGUGGGACCUCAGUUCCCUGACCUGGGACUGAAUGUGGGCCUGUGGCAGUGAAAGAGCAGAGUCCCAACCACUGGACCACUUUUUCAUUUUAUUCAAUAAAAAAUGCCCUUCAAGGACUUCCUUAGCAGUCCAGUGUUUAAGACUCUGCCUUCCAACGCAGCGGGUUAAGUUUGAUCCUUAGUUCUCUGGUCCCGAACUAAGAUCCCACAUGCUCCAAGGAACAGCCAAGAAAAAGAAGGGCCCUUCAUAACAAUAUGGACUUUGGCAGAAAAGAACAAGACAGACCUUUGAAAAUACUUACAUUAAAAUUUGAUAUAGUACAGACUCUUACGAAAGCCAAAUUCAGGACUCUGAUUUGUAAGCAUGCAAGCUAUUUAAAUGCAGACACCAGUUUAUAUUGUAUACAAAAUACAGUAUUACCCAAGUGUAAACUAAAGUUAGGACUCAAAUUUCAUUAUGUGCAAUAAAAUGGGUAGGCAAUGGUUAUGCAAGAUGUCGAAUCAUUCUUACUUCUGUUUAAUUACACCAGUUCAACUGGCAUUACCUUAGCACUUUUAUGUACAAAGCAGGCCAGUUGUUUAGGAAUGAUUGCGGAUGGAGACUCAUACCUGGUUUGUGGUCCGUGCUUCCGAGACUUUCUUCUUUAUUCCUCUUACCACAAAAGUAUUCACAGAAGAGCAGGGUAAGCCAGGUGCUACCUUUCCACAAGGGAAAGCAGAACCAGUAGCCGCCACAUGGCUCUCCAACUAAAGGCUUCACUUUCUCUGUAGAGAAAGCAAGUAAUGUGAAUUUUCUGUGGUUUGGGGCCUAGCCUGCUCUGUAUGCCUCAGCAGGCUUGAGGUUAUUAGUGGUAGAAGUAUCCAGUAGGAAUCAACUUUAUUUGUGUUGCUGGAGUGGGGGUGGAGCAUGGGGCUGAUGCCUUUAUAAUUCCCAAGAGUUGCUAUUUUCUAUUAUCUCAGGUUUAAUUUUGUAUUAAUAAAUGGCUUAUUUUUAAACAGUGUCUCCUGCUUGAUUUUAUUUCUGGGGUGAACAUGGUAAAGUUGGAGACUUGCAAAAAUAUUUCAAACAUUUGUUCAUUUAACAAGUAUGUAUUGGCACUACUCUAGGCCCUGGGAUAUAGCACUGAGCAAGACUGACAAGGUCCCUGCUCUCACUAUG
ensembl:lncRNA